AAUCCAGUUUAUCCUGCUGGCGGCUGCGGCUAUCUGGUUUGCACUUAGACAUGCAAGUCUUUCGAAAGAAGGCGAACUGCUCAGUAACACGUAGCUAACCUGCCCUUAAGUCAAGGAUACCCUCGGGAAACUGAGGCUAAACCUAGAUAGGAGACAUACCCUGGAAAGAUUUGUCUCUCAAACUCGUGCUUAAGGAUGGGGCUGCGGCGGAUUAGGCUGUUGGCGAGGUAAAAGCUCACCAAACCGAUGAUCCGUAAGGGCUCUUAGCGGAGAGGCCCUGAGAGGGAGUCUGAGACACUACUCCCAGCCCUACGGGGUGCAGCAGUUAGGAAUCUUUUGCAAUGCGCGAAAGCGUGACAAAGCGAGCCAGAGUGCUUCUCAUUGAGAAGCUUUUGCUAAAUCUAAAAAGUUUGGCGAAUAAGGACUGGGAGAGACUGGUGCCAGCCGCCGCGGUAAUCCCAGCAGUCCAAGUCGCAGCCAUCAUUAUUGGGUCUAAAAUAUCCGUAGCUUGCUUAAAAAGUUCCUUGUGAAAUCCGGCAUCUUAAGUGUCGGGCGCGCGGGGAAUACUCUUGAGCUAGAGACAGGAAGACGUAAGAAGUACGUUCGAAGUAG
rnacentral:rRNA from 1 species